GUCCCCACUUUCCGGCCGAGGGAAAAAUUAUGAGAUCCCUGCGGCUAUACUCUAUUUCCCGAGUGACUAGGAGCCUUCCGCGCAGCUUGAAAGGUGAUGGAGGCCGCAGCGAACGUCUCGGACCUCCCACCAUGCGUUAAUCGCCGCCUCACCGACUACGGUUCAUUAUACACGAUAGGACAAUAAGGACACGCUUGUAUUGGGAAGUGGCACGAUCAGUCGCAGUACACUGAAAUCUAAGGACAAGCAGAAGGUGGAUAGGACCGUUUCCACGGAGUCGUUGGCCAGCAAGUCGCGGGGCGUGAAUUCUAAGCCAGAGCUGAGCAGGUCGACGUCAGUUCCACGAGAUCCGAACAAGAGCGCGGGAUGGUUCAAGCUGAAGAGCAAGAAGUCCCGGGCUUGAAGGGAAGGCCAUUAAUUAAUGCUAGUCUUGAGUUUCAUAAGUAAUAUUGUAAUCGUUAAACGAGUAAUAAAAACGCGCGCCUGCUGUCCGCUGCUGUCCCCGCAACGGGCUUUAGCUGUAACCGAGUUAUUACUUUCAUCAUUUUAUCUUCUGUUUCUUCUCUAAUGUACAAUGAAAUAAAUCUCGGGCGACGAUUAACGAUUAA